GGGGGGGGGGGGGGGGGGGGGGGGGGGGGGGGGGGGGGGGGGGGGGGGGGGGGGGGGGGGGGGGGGCGGGAGCCGCGCCGCCCGCGCAACCGGAGGGGACGGAGCUGGCAGAGAGAUGACAUUCCUGCCUGGAACAGAUACAACUGCAGUGUGAAUGGAGAGCUAUCCUCAUAUGGCUGCAAGCACGCAAUGCUGAUGGGCGAGUUAAGUGUCCUUAGCCACCCCUUCCCUCUCUGCAGUAAAUUCCCCUGGUGGGCGCAGGGUCCCGGAAUACGAAGCUGCCGCUGCGCUUGUGCUGCUCACAGCUGUGCUGCUGUCACUGUGCUGCUGUCACCGUGCUGGUACAGGUGUGAGUGCUAGAACAUACACCUUAAACAUCUCUUUAAAGAGAAUACUCCUG
rnacentral:lncRNA from 12 species